GGCAAAAUGCAGCAUCUUGCCAGUCACUCCUUGGGGGUAGGAAGCUCCUGGGAGGAACUUGCAGAGCAGCAGAGCUUGGCUUUGCGAUAACUUGUUAGCAAGUAUUUGCCCUUUGAUAUUUCUUCAUUUUCUCAUGUCACCCUUUUGCAGAUCUCCAAGCCUCUCCAUGACAAUCUGCACUCCCUAGUAGAAGCUGCUGCACAUCUUGGCAUGGAUGACAACAAAGUUCUCACUUGUCUGGAGCAGAUGAUGGCAAAAGUUGGUCGCUGUGGAAGCAUGAUCUGUCUGCCCUAUCCAGGGACAGAAGAGAACCUCUUUGAGCCUUAUGUGUACAAAGCUAUGCCAGCUGACUUGGCCAAAUGCAUGAUCGUGGUGGGGCCAAACUGUCCAUCCAGGCACCAGUUUUCAGAAAGCAAACACAACAUUGUUUUUGCUGUCUGGAUAAAUGAGAACAGAUUCUAAAAUUCAUGGUGUCAAGAGAUUUCAGCUUUCCAAAGCUCUCCAGAUUGAGUGAGCACAUGAAAUCCUGUUGGAAUUACAACCCCGCCAGGAGACCAGCAUUUUCUGCCAUACUUGUAGUGAUCGCACAGGAAAAACAAGCAGUCAGGUAAUAAUAUUCACUUGAAACUUGAACCUUUUUUUUUUUUUUUUUUCCCUCAGCCUUGUAACUGGAUGUUCAAUUUCACUGAUGAAUAAUUAGUAAUAUUCACAAGGGCUGCUUCUACCAAGGGAAAGCUCUAGCCUCAAGAACAUCCAACAGUAAUGUUUUAGCUGGAAUAGUUGUUUUGAUAAAGAUCUAAUCUAUAUGGGAGAAGAAGACUAGGAGUAAAGGGGAGACACUUUUAUGCAAAUAUCCUCCUGUACUUCAACAAGAACUGCCUGGGUAGAUGUGUUAGAACCAUCUAGAGAAGUCCUUUGUGUCUGAUCAAAACUCUUUUGCACCAUACAUGAUGGAACAAGGAUAAAUGGGCCAGCACGGAGCUGUGCAUUACCAUGUUGACUGUUCGGUUGACUGCUUAUAGUAGUGCAGGCUUUUGGUCCCUCAGGCACUGCUGUGUUGUCUCACAAGAUUCAGUGUUGGAGGAGGAGAGCAGCAAUUGUUAAGCCUUACUUUCAGAUACUUUGGUAUAGAUCUUGGAGUGGGCCCAGGGUGGCGGUAGGUCUGUGCUGACCAAUCUGCACAUCUCUAGAGCCUACAUGUAAAUUUUAGAAUCAUAAAAUCGUAG
rnacentral:lncRNA from 1 species